GACGAACGCUGGCGGCGUGCCUAAUACAUGCAAGUAGAACGCUGAAGCUUGGUGCUUGCACCGAGCGGAUGAGUUGCGAACGGGUGAGUAACGCGUAGGUAACCUGCCUGGUAGCGGGGGAUAACUAUUGGAAACGAUAGCUAAUACCGCAUAAGAGUAGAUGUUGCAUGACAUUUGCUUAAAAGGUGCAAUUGCAUCACUACCAGAUGGACCUGCGUUGUAUUAGCUAGUUGGUGGGGUAACGGCUCACCAAGGCGACGAUACAUAGCCGACCUGAGAGGGUGAUCGGCCACACUGGGACUGAGACACGGCCCAGACUCCUACGGGAGGCAGCAGUAGGGAAUCUUCGGCAAUGGACGGAAGUCUGACCGAGCAACGCCGCGUGAGUGAAGAAGGUUUUCGGAUCGUAAAGCUCUGUUGUAAGAGAAGAACGAGUGUGAGAGUGGAAAGUUCACACUGUGACGGUAUCUUACCAGAAAGGGACGGCUAACUACGUGCCAGCAGCCGCGGUAAUACGUAGGUCCCGAGCGUUGUCCGGAUUUAUUGGGCGUAAAGCGAGCGCAGGCGGUUAGAUAAGUCUGAAGUUAAAGGCUGUGGCUUAACCAUAGUACGCUUUGGAAACUGUUUAACUUGAGUGCAAGAGGGGAGAGUGGAAUU
rnacentral:rRNA from 1 species